CACGUAGGGGGCGAGCGUUGUCCGGAAUUACUGGGCGUAAAGGGCGCGCAGGCUGUUAUGCGAGUCUGCUGUGAAAUGUACCGGCUCAACCGGUGCCUUGCGGCGGAUACUGCAUAGCUGGAGUACUGGAGAGGGAAGUGGAAUUCCCGGUGUAGCGGUGAAAUGCGUAGAUAUUGGGAAGAACACCGGUGGCGAAGGCGACUUGCUGGGCAGCAACUGACGCUGAGGCGCGAAAGCCAGGGGAGCAAACGGGAUUAGAUA
rnacentral:rRNA from 1 species